rnacentral:rRNA from 1 species
GACGAACGCUGGCGGCGUGCUUAACACAUGCAAGUCGAACGGAAAGGCCCUGCUUUUGUGGGGUGCUCGAGUGGCGAACGGGUGAGUAACACGUGAGUAACCUGCCCUUGACUUUGGGAUAACUUCAGGAAACUGGGGCUAAUACCGGAUAGGAGCUCCUGCUGCAUGGUGGGGGUUGGAAAGUUUCGGCGGUUGGGAUGGACUCGCGGCUUAUCAGCUUGUUGGUGGGGUAGUGGCUUACCAAGGCUUUGACGGGUAGCCGGCCUGAGAGGGUGACCGGCCACAUUGGGACUGAGAUACGGCCCAGACUCCUACGGGAGGCAGCAGAGGGGAAUAUUGCACAAUGGGCGGAAGCCUGAUGCAGCAACGCCGCGUGCGGGAUGACGGCCUUCGGGUUGUAAACCGCUUUCGCCUGUGACGAAGCGUGAGUGACGGUAAUGGGUAAAGAAGCACCGGCUAACUACGUG